AAAUGAAAAAACAUAACAACAAAUAAAACAUAACAAAAAUAUUUAUUUACAAAGAAAAUAAAUAUAACACAAUAAAAUAUAACAAAAACCAAAAAAAUAAGAAAAUAAUAAGAAAAACCUUACAACAGCUCGACGGUAGCAGGGGACGCCUAGACUCAACGGCCGCAGGAGGAGAGGAGCUGGAAGAGAGUGAAUUCGUAUUAGAAGCAACUAUUAUAGAAAUAAAGGACGUCUCCUACCAGAAUAUCGAUCAUUCUGCUUUUAAGGGCGAUAAUAUCGAGACCCAUUUCAAUUUGAAGAUUGUUUCACCCAAAUUUCAUCAUCAGACACUCGUCAAGCUCCACCGCAUGGUUUAUGAUGCUUUGGGCGAUGAACUCUGCCCUGAACUCCACGCUCUCUCUAUUGUCAGCAAAACUCUCCGCAAGGAAGAAGUCGUUGAUGCCACUCCUAUAAAUUAUAGAGGUUGUAUUUUAUUGCUUUUGAUGUUUCUUCUAAUCUCAUUACUGAUUUCUUUUGAUAUCUGUUAUGGGUAAUUCUUGGCCUAUGAAAUUUUAGUUAAAUGGUUUUAGGAUUAUGUUGAUUUCCCCGUGGCACUCAUGUACUUGAAUUUAUGUGUAUUUUGUUGACUGAUGCUUUCAAAGUAAGAGUGGAAAUGUGAGUAGCUUGCUUGA